rnacentral:rRNA from 1 species
UGUGGGGAAGCCGUAGCGAAAGCGAGUCUGAAUAGGGCGAUUGAGUCGCGUGUCCUAGACCCGAAGCGGAGUGAUCUACCCAUGGCCAGGUUGAAGCGCGUGUAAGAACGCGUGGAGGACCGAACCCACUUCAGUUGAAAAUGGAGGGGAUGAGUUGUGGGUAGGGGUGAAAGGCCAAUCAAACUCCGUGAUAGCUGGUUCUCCCCGAAAUGCAUUUAGGUGCAGCGUCACGUGUUUCUUCCCGGA